GAGGGCGUAGCUCAAGAGGUAGGGCAUGUGCUUAGCAUGCAUGAGGUCCUGAGUUCAAUUCCCUGUACCUCCA
rnacentral:tRNA from 1 species